UACGGAGGGGGCGAGCGUUAUUCGGAAUUAUUGGGCGUAAAGAGCGCGUAGGCGGCCCGGUAAGUCCGCUGUGAAAGUCAAGGGCUCAACCCUUGAAUGCCGGUGGAUACUGUCGGGCUAGAGUCCGGAAGAGGCGAGUGGAAUUCCUGGUGUAGCGGUGAAAUGCGCAGAUAUCAGGAAGAACACCCGUGGCGAAGGCGGCUCUCUGGGACGGUACUGACGCUGAGGUGCGAAAGCGUGGGGAGCAAACAGG
rnacentral:rRNA from 1 species